GACGAACGCUGGCGGCGUGCUUAACACAUGCAAGUCGAGCGGUAAGGCCCUUUCGGGGGUACACGAGCGGCGAACGGGUGAGUAACACGUGGGUGACCUGCCCUCAGCUCUGGGAUAAGCCCGGGAAACUGGGUCUAAUACCGGAUAUGACUCCAUGACGCAUGUUGUGGGGUGGAAAGCCUUGUGCGGCUGAGGAUGGGCCCGCGGCCUAUCAGCUUGUUGGUGGGGUGANGGCCUACCAAGGCGACGACGGGUAGCCGGCCUGAGAGGGCGACCGGCCACACUGGGACUGAGACACGGCCCAGACUCCUACGGGAGGCAGCAGUGGGGAAUAUUGGACAAUGGGGGCAACCCUGAUCCAGCCAUGCCGCGUGAGUGAUGAAGGCCUUAGGGUUGUAAAGCUCUUUCGACGGGGAAGAUAAUGACGGUACCCGUAUAAGAAGCCCCGGCUAACUUCGUGCCAGCAG
rnacentral:rRNA from 1 species